rnacentral:rRNA from 1 species
UACGAAGGGUGCAAACGUUGCUCGGAAUUAUUGGGCGUAAAGCGCACGUAGGCGGCUUAGCAAGUCGGAUGUGAAAUCCCGAGGCUCAACCUCGGAACUGCCUUCGAUACUGCCGAUCUGGAGUCCGGGAGAGGUGAGUGGAACUGCGAGUGUAGAGGUGAAAUUCGUAGAUAUUCGCAAGAACACCAGUGGCGAAGGCGGCUCACUGGCCCGGUACUGACGCUGAGAUGCGAAAGCGUGGGGAGCAAACAGG